GAUGAACGCUGGCGGCGUGCCUAAUACAUGCAAGUAGAACGCUGAAGGAAGGAGCUUGCUCUUUCCGGAUGAGUUGCGAACGGGUGAGUAACGCGUAGGUAACCUGCCUGGUAGCGGGGGAUAACUAUUGGAAACGAUAGCUAAUACCGCAUAACAGUAGAUGUUGCAUGAUAUCUACUUAAAAGGUGCAAUUGCACCACUACCAGAUGGACCUGCGUUGUAUUAGCUAGUUGGUGAGGUAACGGCUCACCAAGGCGACGAUACAUAGCCGACCUGAGAGGGUGAUCGGCCCCCCCGGGACUGGGACACGGCCCAGACUCCUACGGGGAGCAGCAGUAGGGAAUCUUCGGCAAUGGACGGAAGGCUGACCGAGCAACGCCGCGUGAGUGAAGGAGGUUUUCGGGUCGUAAAGCUCUGUUGUAAGGGAAGAACGAGUGUGAGAGUGGAAAGUUCACACUGUGACGGUAUCUUACCAGAAAGGGACGGCUAACUACGUG
rnacentral:rRNA from 1 species